GGAGUCAUGGUCUCAUUUCCUCUACAGAAAAAAGUAUUUCUUAGUUCAGAGACAUUUGAAACGACUUGAGUGUAAUUUGCCUUUGGUUCUCUUGUUCCACCUGAGCAAGUUUCUCGUUUGCAAGCUCGGUUAGCACAAGUACACAACAAGUAGAUUUCUUGGUGUCUCCAGUUGUGGGCUCGUGGCAAGAUCCUACAAAAUUCGCACCAAACAAUUAAUUUAAUCUAUAAACUGUUACUUUUGUUGGUUGUAUAAUGUGUUUCAACCAUUUCAUCUAAUGUAGAGGAGAAAGAAAGAAACUAUAUUUGAGAGGGUAGAGUGGAUAAGAUCCUAGUUACUACCAAAUAAAGUUUGACAAGCAUUUACCUAACGCCCAUGUCAUUAUUAUAUGAAAAUACAAAUGAAUUUGCCUCGUCCAAAGAUACAAGUAACAAGGACUAGUAGCGAUAUAAUCAUACUUGGCAAGGGUAUAUAAAAAUUGUUAGGAUAAAUAAUACUUAAUUAACAAUUAAUAAAAAUUUACAAAUUGCAACUAAUACACAUGCUGACUUGAGAUAUUACAUUCUAAAAGCAAUAGCCAAAAGAAGGCAAGAAGCUUAUCAUAUCUUACCUAUUUUGAAGUAACAUCAGAUGGUAUA
rnacentral:lncRNA from 1 species